GUCCUCGUCGUCCAACGGAUAGGACGCAAGCCUCCGGAGCUUGAAAUCCGGGUUCGAAUCCCAGCGAGGACGCCA
rnacentral:tRNA from 1 species